AUUUCUCCUCUCUCUCGGCCGACACUCUCUCUCUCUCUAGCUCUCACCUCUCCCAUAUCUUCUCUCCUCAAUUUCACCUCCAUGGAGUAUGAUUCCGAACAAAGUCCGAGAAUUAAAGUUGUUCUACGGAACGAGGGCUACCUAUCCAUCCAAGAAAAAUUACGAUCGGAUCACGUAGGAGUUUCGGUUUCGCUCGGAUCUUUGGGGUUUUGCUCAAAACCCAUGAGAGAAGCGUUUGAUGAAUGAGCUGUAUGAUUAUUGGGAUUUGAUUGGCUGUAAUUGAGAAUUGGAAUGAGGAUGUGAUUGCAACGCAAGGGGUGGAAAUGCAGAUUGCAACGUAAGGGGUGGUAAUGCAGAGACCGAAAUAUUGGGUGAUGUUGAUUGCAACGCCAGGGGUGGAAAUGCAAACUGCAACGCAAUGGGUGGAAAUGCAGAGUGACUGAGAUUAUGAGAAGUGUCGAAAUGGUUGUGAACCUAUUGUGAGUACGUUUGAUUGAUGUGAUUUUAAUAAUGUUUCUACAUGACAUGUGAACGGUUAGGAAUACUUACAAGUUGUUUGAAACUCUUUGGCCGUAGUCUGUCUUUCGUUGUGAUAAACUCGUGUUUCUCAUGUUCACUUAUCGAAUUCUUUCACUCUUUGUGCAUACUUCAUCGCAUUUUCAUAUAGCUUGAGUAUAGAUUUCUCUACUGGGCUAGUGUAGCUCAACCUACCAUUUUUAGGUACACUACAUGGACACAGUUUUGGAGGGUGUGAAGUGCAUGCAGACAUCACAGGCUAAAGUUAUUUUCUGAAGAACUUGUCUUUCCCUUGUAAAUCAAACUGUAUUGUACUAUUCUAGUGGAUGCCCGUGCCUGAAGGCACGGCGUGACGUAUUCUAAACACAGUCUAAAUGAAAUAUUAAAUUGUACUUUUAUGA